AACGCACAUUGCGCUCUCUGUUUUGCAGAGAGCACGCCUGUUCGAGCGCCAUUUCACCCACCAAGCCAUGCUUGAUGUUGGACGAGGCAAGAUAUAGCCAGUCCCAAACUCCUUUGGCGCCGUCCGUCGAGCACCAGCGUAGCAAGUAAUUCUCGCUUCGUGUGUCGACAGGUGGUGGCCGCGACGAAACCUAUUCUAUGGUUGGCCUCGGAUCAGGUGGGGAUACCCGCUGAACUUAA
rnacentral:misc_RNA from 1 species